GAUGAACGCUAGCUACAGGCUUAACACAUGCAAGUCGAGGGGUCUGCUUCGGCAGACGACCGGCGCACGGGUGAGUAACGCGUAUCCAACCUGCCCUUCUCAUUGGGAUAGCCUUUCGAAAGAGAGAUUAAUACCGAAUAACAUAGUUUGAUUGCCUGAUUAUACUAUGAAAGCUCCGGCGGAGAAGGAUGGGGAUGCGUUCCAUUAGGUAGUAGGCGGGGUAACGGCCCACCUAGCCUACGAUGGAUAGGGGUUCUGAGAGGAAGGUCCCCCACACUGGAACUGAGACACGGUCCAGACUCCUACGGGAGGCAGCAGUGAGGAAUAUUGGUCAAUGGUCGGAAGACUGAACCAGCCAUGCCGCGUGAAGGUCACGGCCCUAUGGGUCUUAAACUUCUUUUGUCAGGGAGCAAUAAGUCCCACGUGUGGGAUGAUGAGAGUACCUGACGAAUAUGCAUCGGCUAACUCCGUG
rnacentral:rRNA from 1 species